CAUACUUGGCCGAUGUGGGAUCAUAUCAAUACCUCACCCUUUGAAGAGCCAAUGUCCACGUUGGUCACUGCUAUGGUGAUCACGAUUGGCACCCUUCUCCUUGGGUCUAACCCACCUCUCCAUAGGCCACCACUCCGAGCGUUGGAACCUCGAAAGGUAGGGCUGGCUCUGAUACCAAUUGAUACGAACUCAUCCCAUAAUAGACUCGUAUCAUGCCAUAAGCUAGGUGUAGAACUCGCUCCCAAAAGCUAGCUCAAAGGAGGAGGAUACACCUAGGUUUAUAAACCACCAACCAAUCUCAUACUUGGCCGAUGUGGGAUCAUAUCAUACUUACUGAUUAUAACUGAUAUGUUGUUUGAAUAUAUAAUGGUAUUGUGGUAUGCACCACCUUGCUUUGCUGUUCUAAGUUUAUGAUAAUUCUUUAUUUCCAUGAAAGGUUAGGUAAAUAAAUGUGUCUAUACCCAGGUUCUGGUUGUGGGUGACGGCGAUGGUGGAGUUUCGAGGUUAGAAGGUUUUUCCUGAGUAGGCUCAUGACUUUGAAGUUCCACGUGUACAUCUCCAUGUUGCUGAUGCUGUUGGUCACUGCUUGCCGUGAAAGGUGAGAUAUUCUGGGGGUUCUGUUCAUUAUGCAUGGACAAGCGUACCCACAUAUCCAAGGUGUGAUUGAACUCAUCCGAUUUCUGCUUAAAGCCUACCUAGAAUUUUUGGGUGAAUUGCUAAAUAAAUUGGGAUCUAGAAAGUUGUGGAAAAACAAAUGUCCAAUGGAAUUUAAACCUAAAAAGCUGUAGAAGAACGCACAACAGAACUCGAAACCUCAUUGUUAGUAUUGGUUAUGCAGUGGUACAAUUGGAUUCUUACUGUGCUCAACUGAAGGACCGCCUGUAGACUUCAAGAUUUCUAAAACCCCAAAUAAGAAACUAGA